rnacentral:sRNA from 1 species
UUAGAUCCUUUUCCUGACCAUGUUGUUUUUAAGGAUUUGCGUAUUACUCAGCAAAAAAUCAAAUACAGUAGAGGACCCUUUUCACUCUUGGAGGAAAUUAACCAUUUUCUCUCAGUAAGUGUUUAUGAUGCACUUCCAUUGACAAGACUUGAAGGACUAAAGGAUCUUCGAAGACAACUGGAACUACAUAAAGAUCAGAUGGUGGACAUUAUGAGAGCUUCUCAGGGUGCUAAUUUUAAUGACAUGGGUUAUUUCUACCUGUUUCUUUUUGAAAGAAUAUUUUGCAAAGUCUUGCUCUUGGUUUCAUUGUCACAGACUUAGUUCAGACUCUCAUCAUUUAGUUCAGACCCUCAUUUCUCAUCUAACUGUAAAACUGCUCCUAACUGGUCUUCUCACCCUGAACUCUUCCUAUUUUAUUCAUCCUCUGCCAGAUGAUUUCUCUAAACCCAAAUAUGAUCAUGUUUUUCUACUGCCUAAAUUUUUUUUUUUAAGAGACAGAGUUUUUUUUUUUUUAAGAGUCUCACUCUGUCACCCA